rnacentral:pre_miRNA from 13 species
UAAAAACUUUGUGAUGUCAGUGGCGGGAUCUUGGGGGCGAGAUGAGUUUUGAUUUCAAUCCAACUGGCCCGCAAAGUCCCGCUUCUGGUGCUCACCCUUACACA